rnacentral:rRNA from 1 species
GGGCGACGGUUGUCCCGGUUUAAGCAUGUAGGCUGAUUGUCCAGGCAAAUCCGGAUAAUCAAGGCUGAGGUGUGAUGACGAGGCACUACGGUGCUGAAGUAACAAAUGCCCUGCUUCCAGGAAAAGCCUCUAAGCAUCAGGUAACAUUAAAUCGUACCCCAAACCGACACAGGUGGUCAGGUAGAGAAUACCAAGGCGCUUGAGAGAACUCGGGUGAAGGAACUAGGCAAAAUGGUGCCGUAACUUCGGGAGAAGGCACGCUGGUGUGUAGGUGAAGUCCCUGCGGAUGGAGCUGAGACCAGUCGAAGAUACCAGCUGGCUGCAACUGUUUAUUAAAAACACAGCACUGUGCAAACACGAAAGUGGACGUAUACGGUGUGACGCCUGCCCGGUGCCGGAAGGUUAAUUGAUGGGGUUAUCCGUAAGGAGAAGCUCUUGAUCGAAGCCCCGGUAAACGGCGGCCGUAACUAUAACGGUCCUAAGGUAGCGAAAUUCCUUGUCGGGUAAGUUCCGACCUGCACGAAUGGCGUAAUGAUGGCCAGGCUGUCUCCACCCGAGACUCAGUGAAAUUGAACUCGCUGUGAAGAUGCAGUGUACCCGCGGCAAGACGGAAAGACCCCGUGAACCUUUACUAUAGCUUGACACUGAACAUUGAGCCUUGAUGUGUAGGAUAGGUGGGAGGCUUUGAAGCGUGGACGCCAGUCUGCGUGGAGCCAACCUUGAAAUACCACCCUUUAAUGUUUGAUGUUCUAACGUUGGCCCCUGACCGGGGUUGCGGACAGUGUCUGGUGGGUAGUUUGACUGGGGCGGUCUCCUCCCAAAGCGUAACGGAGGAGCACGAAGGUUAGCUAAUCCUGGUCGGACAUCAGGAGGUUAGUGCAAUGGCAUAAGCUAGCUUGACUGCGAGCGUGACGGCGCGAGCAGGUGCGAAAGCAGGUCAUAGUGAUCCGGUGGUUCUGAAUGGAAGGGCCAUCGCUCAACGGAUAAAAGGUACUCCGGGGAUAACAGGCUGAUACCGCCCAAGAGUUCAUAUCGACGGCGGUGUUUGGCACCUCGAUGUCGGCUCAUCACAUCCUGGGGCUGAAGUAGGUCCCAAGGGUAUGGCUGUUCGCCAUUUAAAGUGGUACGCGAGCUGGGUUUAGAACGUCGUGAGACAGUUCGGUCCCUAUCUGCCGUGGGCGCUGGAGAAUUGAGGGGGGCUGCUCCUAGUACGAGAGGACCGGAGUGGACGCAUCACUGGUGUUCGGGUUGUCAUGCCAAUGGCACUGCCCGGUAGCUAAAUGCGGAAGAGAUAAGUGCUGAAAGCAUCUAAGCACGAAACUUGCCCCGAGAUGAGUUCUCCCUGAGACUUUAAGUCUCCUGAAGGAACGUUGAAGACGACGACGUUGAUAGGCCGGGUGUGUAAGCGCAGCGAUGCGUUGAGCUAACCGGUACUAAUGAACCGUGAGGCUUAACCUU